UUCAUACGUGAAGAUGUUUUUCCUUAAACGUCAACCUAUUAUCUUUAUUUUCAUAGGUUAGUAAUAUAAUCUUUUGAUGAAUUUAGUCCAAGUAUAACAUGAAGUAACAAUGUUCAGAAUCUAUUUGAGCACUUGGUGGUGGUACCAUCAUGCAAAUCUACAGUUUCUGUCUAAUUGGAUUUGUGAGUCAGAAAUCACUUAAAUGAGAAAAAUGUGCAGCUCUAUACAAUGCUAUUACUAAAAUAGCAUAAUGUAUACGUGAUCUCACAUAAGUUAUAAUGAAAGUGCGAGAAACUUCAGGCUAAACCAAAUUUAAAUGUGGUUCUUUAUUAAAACUCACUAUAGAUAAAUUUAGGUAAUCUCACGAAAAAGCACAACUGUAUUCUUAUGCCUUGUUUCAAGACAACCACAUUGGAGAUUUGUUUUUAAUUUCGUGUCAACAUGACAUAAAGUCAUGCAUCCAGUUGUGCUCUGCGGAGUAAUAAGUCUUGAUAGAUCAUAUUAAUGGAAGUGAUGUCAAAUGAUUAUAUUGGACUAGAUUAGGUGUUUAUGCCAUGCAUACCAGAACAAAAAAAGAAUUACGGUUAUUUCUUAUUUGUGCUAUGGGCUGCUGAUAGCUAGAGCAGAGAUCUUACAAGCUGGUGUCAAUGGUUACAACAACUGCAUAUUCGAUCAGGAAUUCAGGGCUGAUGUAGUGAAAGCUCUUAAAGAGAACGGAGCGUGCACUCACAUGAAAUGUUCCUUCGGUAGAACUUCGAAUGGUGGUGAUGGUGAUGGGAAGGAGAAUCUAUUUGCAUCGUUUUUCUUUGACAGGGCAGCUGAGCGCAGCCUUUGGUCACAUCACCUCCCUACUACUGUGUAAUGCUCCCGUCCUUCUACACCUUUAUGUGGUUGGUUAAGCGGUGUUUCUACAGCUAAGAAAAUACAUCUCAAGCAUUGAGCAUUGCCGACGAGGACCAAGCCACUACAUGGGAUGCACUUGAUCUGCCAGCUUUCUCUAUGCAUUGGAACUCCUAGCCUUGUCUGAAUAUUCAGAGCAACAAAACGGCCUUCUUCUCACCUGACAUAUCAUUCCAAGCUAUCUCCCAAGGUUAUUAUUAUUAGUAGGCAAAUUGUAUUGCGGAUACCACGUCAUGUCCUUGGAAAAUGUGCAUGGAUUGAUCGGAGAAGCUUGGGCUCAUUCCAAAAGGCGGAAUAUCUCGAGACUGUCAAUUUCUUCAUGUCUUUUCCAUGUUCACUUCAGAAGAUCAAUUGUGAUAUUUUGGUUCAUAUUUAUUUAUCAUUGUGUGCCUCAAAUACAGACUCAUAAACGUUUUGUACAGAUACAUAAGUGGGUUAUAACUGAUUGUUCA